rnacentral:pre_miRNA from 1 species
UGUGUACUCCCUCCGUUCCAAAAUACUUGACUUCCAUUUGUCCAAAAAUGGAUGUACCUAUAUACUAAGACAUGUCUAGAUACAUAUAUAUUUUGACAAAUAGAAGGCAUGUAUUGUGCAACGGAGGUAGUAGAAU